GUCGUGCGGGCAGCUAUACAUGCAGUCGAACGGCAAGAACCUUUCGGGGUUCCUAGAGUGGCGAACGGGUGCGUAACGCGUAUGCAACCUACCCUUUACCGGAGGAUAGCCCGGGGAAACCCGGAUUAAUACUCCAUGGCAUCAAGACUUCGCAUGGGGACUUGAUUAAAGAUUUAUUGGUAAAGGAUGGGCAUGCGUGCCAUUAGCUAGUUGGUAGGGUAACGGCCUACCAAGGCGACGAUGGCUAGGGGGUCUGAGAGGAUGAUCCCCCACACUGGCACUGAGACACGGGCCAGACUCCUACGGGAGGCAGCAGUAGGGAAUAUUGGUCAAUGGGCGAGAGCCUGAACCAGCCAUGCCGCGUGCAGGAAGAAGGCGUUAUGCGUUGUAAACUGCUUUUAUCGGGGAAGAAAAAGGGGGUGCGCCCCCAAUUGCCGGUACCCGAUGAAUAAGCACCGGCUAACUCCGUGCCAGCAGCCGCGGUAAUACGGAGGGUGCAAGCGUUGUCCGGAUUUAUUGGGUUUAAAGGGUGCGUAGGCGGGUAUUUAAGUCAGUGGUGAAAGCCGGCAGCUCAACUGUCGAGGUGCCAUUGAUACUGAAUA
rnacentral:rRNA from 1 species